rnacentral:lncRNA from 1 species
UAUUCAAUCCAAGGCUAACUAUACUCAUAAGUCCAAUAAGAUCUAAUAGUUUGCAAUCAGGACAUGUUAGUUUCUUCUAUCUCUUCCUAUUCCAACUCGUUCUACUGUUAUAGCAUCGCCUUUGUGACCAAGCCCCAACCAUAUACGUAGUCCUUAAUAUAAUUUGUCUGAAAUUGACUCCACCUCCAUAUGUUAACAUUUAGUGUCAUUUCUUCUUUAUUCAUUCUAGCACCCACAUUCUGCUAUGUUAAUGUGUUGUGCAUUUUUUCUUUUAAUGGACGAAAAACUUGAUACUAUAAAACAUGGACUGUUUAACAGUCAUUCAAUAAAAUUUGCUAAGACAUUUAUCAAGUGAAAAGGCCAUCUUCUACAGCAUUUCUCCAUUAAAUCUGAUCCCCUUUAAUUCUAUGCAUGACAUGUACACUUCCUCCUUCCACAUUAAUGAUCAAAUCUACAUAACAAAAAGCCUACUACUAAGGACCAUAUGAUCUUCUAUUUUUCCAUCAUUAUUAUCAUAUUCGCAUUAUGACUAUAACAGCACUCCUUGUACUCCAUCUUUGCUUAUUGCUUCUUCAAAAUUUUGACUUGUAAUAUGACCCGCUCUUCAUACCGUCAAACAAGAAGACUUGAUAUUAUUAGAAAUGCCCAAAAAAUAUCAUAUUCGUAAAGCAAAAACAUAGACGCACUCCUAUGAAUUUUUAUUUGUGAAUAAAAUUUUUAUGGAAUACAAUUCAAAAAUCAUUUUGUUUUGAAGUACAGCAUGAGUGAAUCAAACACACUAAAGUAAAAGGACAAGGACUUGAGGGCAAAACCUUGAUCACUUGAUGCUAACUUUUAUCACAUUGACCAAUGAAGAAAAAAUUUCUUCAUGAGGAAAGUUUUAAAUCAAACAAUAUCAAUCUCAUGUUAAAUACUGCACAAAUUGCUCCCAUUUCCCAUAUUUUCUCCUGUCAUCUCAUUUAUGGAAAUUGAGAAGAAGACUUUUUCUGUUGGUAGUCAAAACCCAUAUUUAUUUUUAUUUAUUAUUAUUAUUAUUUUUUUUUUUUUUUUUGGAUAGGUAUCAAACCCGUAUUUAUUGAGAAGAAGGCUUAGUCUGUUGGUAUUUCCUGGUGCAUAGUCGUUAAUUAAAUUAUAAACAGAGAAAAAUUUAUUGUCACUUUUGUGACAUAAUAUAACAAAUGUUCAAGAGGCUUCAGACCCUAAACUAUAAAAAGUCAUUCGGACUGCUGAUUAAAAGUAUUAACAUUCUCAAUAUAAUUAUCAAUGUCACUAAAGAAGCUCUGGUCAUAUAAGUAAGUUAAUAAACUUGAAUCCAAAUGCCACUCAAACAAAUAAAAAACUAAAGCGUGGGGGGGGGGGGGGGGGGAGUUUACCUGUAAUUGACGCAAUUAGGGCAGAUAGAAGCAAGGUUGUAGUUUUCACAAAUAUCGCAGCUACUAAUUUUUCUCGUUGUCAUCAUCGUCUGGGCAUUCAUUGAUCAAAUUUCGAUUCGGAGUCCUAGAACGCGAGCCGUUCCCGACAAUCAAUUACCAAUUGAAAAUUUUUAGAAAUAUAAAAUAAUAGAUGGUUUUGUGAAUUUACAGUCAGGGCUCGUACAGUAUGAAGCAAUUUAGGGUAACAUAAGCCGUUCCCAAGCUUUUGAAUUAGGACUUUCGGGAAUGAAUUUUGGUACAUAAGGGAAACAAAUUGAAAGGCAAUUUAUCCAUUGAGUCCUUCAAAAUUUGGUAAAAUAUAGAUAGGACCACAUAUUUUGAUAUAUUCUAG